AGCAUGUCCUUCGGGAUGAUGGGUACUCUGUGGGGACCGCUGGUGCUAAACCAGAGGAAGGUGCGGGCUACGGUAGGUCAGUAUGCCCCGAAUCUCCCGGGCUACACGCGGGCUACAAUGGUUGGGACAAUGGGUCCCUACACCGAAAGGUGAUGGUAAUCUCUUAAACCCAACCGUAGUUCGAAUCGAGGACUGUAACUCGUCCUCGUGAAGCUGGAAUCCGUAGUAAUCGCGUUUCAACAUAGCGCGGUGAAUACGUCCCUGCUCCUUGCACACACCGCCCGU
rnacentral:rRNA from 1 species